GUGUCAGCAUCAUCAUCAGGGUCUUCACCUGACACUAUAAUAAUACAGAGGAGCCCUCUGCCAGAAUAUGGGGAAGAGAUCAGUCCAGGACCAUUGACGUCACCUCACUUGGCCAGCAGAGAUGGACGUUCGCCUCACGGUGCUGGUGCUCUAGCAAGGAGAAGCCCACCAUCAUCGCACAGGGCCAGUGGAGGCGGACCAUCCCUUAACUGGGCCAGUGGAGUCUCACCUCCCUCCCACGGGGCCAGUAGAGUCUCACCUCCCUCCCACGGGGCAGUGGAGUCUCACCUCCCUCCCACGGGGCCAGUAGAGUCUCACCUCCCUCCCACGGGGCCAGUGGAGUCUCACCACCCUCCCACGGGGCCAGUAGAGUCUCGCCACCCUCCCACGGGGCCAGUAGAGUCUCACCUCCCUCCCACUGGGCCAGUGGAGUCUCACCUCCCUCCCACGGGGCCAGUAGAGUCUCCCUCCCUCCCACGGGGCCAGUGGAGUCUCACCUCCCUCCCACGGGGCCAGUAGAGUCUCACCUCCCUCCCACGGGGCCAGUGGAGUCUCGCCACCCUCCCACGGGGCCAGUAGAGUCUCACCUCCCUCCCACGGGGCCAGUGGAGUCUCGCCACCCUCCCACGGGGCCAGCGGAUAUGGAUAUUCAACACAAGGGGCCGGUGCCAGUGGACUGGGACCUGACUGGGGCAGCAGACUGGGACCAUCUGACUGGAGAAACACACCUCUGUACUAUGGAGUCCAUGCAGCAUUGGAAACAGCCUAUGGUGAGACUGGCACUUGUCCAUCAGCUUACAGUGUUGGAGCAGCCGGCCCGUUGCCAUAUGGUCCAUCACCUGACGGAGGACAUGCAUCUGACCCACCACCUGGUGAUGGCAAUACAGCCGGCAGAAAAGCGGCCAGCCCACUGCACUACUGGAGAGAAUUAGGCAGCUCAUCAGAUCAGAGCAACGUCCCAACAGCUACUGAGUGGACACCUUGCGAUGGAUGUAAGAAGGAGUUUGAGAAGCUCAUCUGUCAGAAGAGGGAAGUCGAUGAGGUCGCCUCAA